rnacentral:tRNA from 1 species
GGAGAGAUGCCAGAGAGGCCGAAUGGGUUCGCCUGCUAAGCGAAUGUAUGCCCUUAAAAGGUGUACCGGGGGUUCGAAUCCCCCUCUCUCCGCCA